UACGUAGGGUGCAAGCGUUGUCCGGAAUUAUUGGGCGUAAAGAGCUCGUAGGCGGUCUGUCGCGUCGAAUGUGAAAACCCGGGGCUCAACCCCGGGCCUGCAUUCGAUACGGGCAGACUAGAGUUCGGUAGGGGAGUCUGGAAUUCCUGGUGUAGCGGUGAAAUGACGCAGAUAUCAGGAGGAACACCGGUGGCGAAGGCGGGACUCUGGGCCGAUACUGACGCUGGAGGAGCGAAAGCGUGGGGAGCAAACAGG
rnacentral:rRNA from 1 species